CUGACCAUGACUCAGUUUCCUCAUCUAUAGAGGGGGGGAUAUACCCAUCACAUUGAGUUACCAUGAAGAGUUGAAGAAACCAUAUCCAUGAGCAUGGGCCAGAAACACAGUGGUAGGUGGUGCUACUAAAACAAAUGUAUGCACACUUACUAUGCAGCAGCUACUGUCUUCAAUUCUUAAAAGGUACUGUAUUCCUCCCAAAAUUUGGACAUUCCUCAGAAAGUGCUGGAGCUGCUGUGUAAAAGGUGUGUAUUGCUUCCAAGCCCUGGCACAUGGCCAUCUCCUUCUUGGUGCUGGGAAUUCUGGGAACUCAGUCAGCUCUGGGGAAAGUAGUGUUUUCAGAGAAGCAGCCUGCCUGGAUGUUUAGAAAACCUUGUAGGAUGAGCCCAAAGAGUGUCUGCCUCAGGCCUGGUUCUGUGUAACUAUAGGCAGCCUAUAGCUCUGGCCUUACCCUGUGGGCAUAUCCCCUCCCUGUGAGAAAGUUCUCUGCCUCAGACCUCACUACUCUGAAGCUUCAGGAAAAACAAUUUCCACAUUUAGGAAGGAGUCUGUGGAUUGCAUCUGGGAGCAUUCCAACAUGCAUGUAGCCAGAAUAGGGACACUUGGGGAGAAACGAAUAGGGUCCUGGCCCUGAAUAGCUAGACAGUAGGUGGUUUGGCUCAGUCAUCACUCAAAUGUAUGUGUAGCACCACCAUGGGCCAUCAUUUGGCCUAUUAUUUAGGAAUCAAUGCAAAGAAACUUCUAGUCCUCCUGGAGUUCCAAUAUUGUCAGGAAGUUAGUCAAGCCCACCAGCCAUCUUGGCAGAUGAGGGGCACAGGAUGUUAGAGGUGUCAGCCUCCUCACCAUCUCUAGGUAUAGAUACCUGCAGCCAGAUGUUUGUGAGGAGUAGCUUUAAGGAAAGAAGGGAGUGGUCUUUGGGCCAGUCAGGAGGGCUCCUGUUUUAUGAAGAGCUGUUAUAAAUGAUGGCUGGGCAAACCCCAAUUUCCACCCUGUGUGAUUUCCAGCAGAGGACUCAACUCUGGGGUUUACCCUGUAGAAAGAACAUAUUGUGGUGCAUUUGAUUCUGGGCACCAAAGGAACAGUAGUGGUUGGGGCCUCAGAGCCAAGCCCUGUGUGGAUCCCUUUCCAACACAGCCAAUGCAAACCCAGGUUGCCCAUGCUUUUUUGUACAGAGACCGGAGAGCAAGUGUGGGGAGCCCCUUACCCACACAUGUACCUCAAAGGUUGCCCUUUUGAUCUGGUGCAUGGACUUGCCUGGCUACUCUUUGGGAACCCAUGAUGCAGGGACCUUGGGAGGUUCCAGUUAAAAGAGAGGCCCUGUCCAUCAUGACUCCCUGUUUCACUCCACAUUCCACAGCACCCUCACCUCCAUCAUCAAAAUGCAGCUGUACCUCUAUCCAGGAUAUUUUUGAGGACCCAAGACUUGGACAACCUGAAGCUUCUCAUGACCUUCCUGUUGAUGAUUAUGCCUGAAUCACAGGGGAACUUCCAUGUCCUUCCCCAGCUGAACAACACAGAUCCUAUCAUGGCUCACCAUCCUCUUAUUCUUCAAGACACAAUAUUGAAGUUAGAACCGUUAAUGACUCAGUAAUGGUCUGUACUGUUUAAAUAAAAAGAAGAGUCUUAUGUUUUUGCAUUUCAAAUAAAAAGCUGUGCAUCUUACACUACUUUGUCACACUGAGAAUGCAAAGGAAAUGUUCAAGAAGGAAAUUAAAGUGCUGCUCCAGGGCAUAUGUAAAUGACUAGAAAGCAAAAACAGCCUUAUUGCUGAUCUGGAAAAACUUUUUAUAUUCUGAAGAAAAGAAGAAACAACCCACGUUCUAUGAAGAUGAAGCCAAAUCCAGAUAAGGCCAUCAUUUUAGAUAGUUAUACUGACAAGAGAAGUGAGAAAGCUGCAGAAGAAGAAGUUAGAAAGUGCCAGAGUUUGGUCCAUUAUGUUUUUGGCAAGAGGCCCUGCUCCAUAAACUAAAAGUGCAAGGCAAAGAAACAAGUGCUGAUGUAGAAGCUCUUGCAAGUCAUCUAGAAGGUCUUGCUAAGCUAUUCGAUGAAGAUGUGUUGUGCUUUAGGUAGUAGGUGUCCCCAGAAGCUCAUGGGUGAGCCAAUACAAGGAUUAUCAGUGAAAUGAUUCAGUUCUGAGAGCUUUAACCCAAUCAAUGGUUUAUUCCCCCGACAGAUAUGAACAGGCAGCAGGCAUGGAAGGGCAUGUGCUGGACCCUUCCCAAGCCUGGAGGUAUAGGUGGCACCUGCAAAGGCAUCUAGUGGCUGUGAAAGAAGUCUGGUUUCUAGGACUGAAGCAUAUAGAAGCCAACCUCAGCGUUCCACAGCAGGGUUUCACAUUGGAGGUUCCCAGUGACCAGGAGCAGUGUCAGAAUCCUGUAGCAGGGGCAUCCAUCUGUGGGGAGAAUGUCAAACAGCGAGCCUAGGUGUCUUAAGGCAGUUUGAGGAGCCCAGAUGUAUCAGUGGCAGGAUGGAGAAUUGGCCUCAGGCUUGGAGGACAGCCAUGGGCAGGAGCCUGGGCAGUGAAGCCUUGGCGUUUGGAAUCUGUGGAGGUAUUGGUGUCUGAAGUUCAGUUAUGGCAGCGGUGGCAAAGGCAACCGAGGAGUCUAUAGGUGGCAGCGUCAAGCCAGGCAUCCAGAGAGUUGCGUUCUCAUCCUCUGGCAGUGGCAGGAGUCUGGUCCCAGUGCAGUGAUGGUGGCUUCGGCAUCACUGGUGGCCCUGUGGGGACUCCAGUGGCUGCAGUGUGGAGCUCUGUUAGCGGUGAUGGUGAAAGCUUGGGACAGCAGGCCUCAGAGUCAGAGGGCGACUGGAGGCUGUGAUGGCCUCUGCAGUGGCUCCUCCAGGCAACUGGUAUUGCUCCUGGUAGGGCCUGCCUGCUCAGGAAGCAGGGCGCAGGAGCUGGUGGUACCCAGACACCUGCUGAGGACCUUAUGCUGCCCAUUCCAGCAAUGCCUGGCAUUGGCCUUGAGUCCACCAGGCUGCUCACCUAAUCCUUGAGUUCACCCUGCCCCUCCCUGAGUUGCAGCCUCUGAGGGAUGAGUAGGCCUGCUGCCAGCUGGGGCAGCCUUGGGAGAAGACACCCACCCUCCCCAGCUACAUCUCCCCUGGGCUGUGGUAGCAGAGUGCAGAGGUGGGUGGUGGGAGGGCCUAACAAAUCCUCACCCUUCAAGUGCAUCCCUGGGGCGGGACAAGGGUGGAGGGCACAGGAGGCAGUGGGAGUCUAAGGGCAACGAGUUCUCUGUCUUGGUCUUCUGCCUCCCCCAGCCACAGAAAUGCACUUUGGGGGUGAGGAUGUCCUAGGACCUCUGCUUUCUGCACCCACUGUCCAUGCAGGAUGUGGCUGGGGAUGGUGAGGUUCUCUCCCAAGACUGCCCCAACUUAGCAGACAGCCUAGUUCCUCAGUAGAGAGGCUAUAUCAGGUGAUGGGCUGAGCAGACACACAGUGGGCUCAUGGCCAGAGCAAGACAUGGCAGCUGUGGGCAGCAUAAGGUCCUGGGCAGCUAACUGGGUACCACCGCCUCCCACGUGCUUCUUCCUGAGCAGGCCAGUUGACCAGGAGCAAGACCAAGGCCUGGAGCCUCCACCACAGAGGACAUCCCAGCUACUGGUUACCUUCUCACUCUGACACCCACUAUCCCAUGCCCUUGCUGCUGUGCCAGCCUGGAGCUCUUCGCUGCAGCCAACCAGACUCCCCACAUGGCCACUGGAUGCCACCUUCACUGCCCUGCAGCCGGACCCCAGUUACUUCUGCAGGAUGAAGAUGCUCACUGCUGGACACUGCCUGUUUUUGCUGCCCCUGCUUCUGAACUCUUGUGGUGCCACCACCAUUGUGCAGCACUCAAACUUCCAAACUCCAGAUGGACUCCAACACUGCCCACCAAGGCCCGAAUGUCAUUGCACUUUAUCCCACACCUGGUGCCCGACCCCUAUACUGAGGCUAGACCCCUGAUGCAGCUGCAUGUUGCUCCCGCCCCUGCCAGAAUCUGGAGCUCCACCCAGCUGCCACCAGACUUUAACAUGGAUACUAGACAGUGACACUCAGUACUGGGGCCAACUUCAUUGCAACUGCAGCCAGACCCUUGUCACUAUGGCAGAUGAAAACACUCAUGGCUGGAUGCAUCUGUUGUUACAACCACUGUUUCUGGAUUCUUCCACUGUCACCGCCGCCAUGAGUAGGAAGCAAGGAACUCCCAAAUCACAGCUGCAUGCCGACAACACCACAGUCACCCCCACCCCACGCCAAUUCUCAACACCUGACUUUUGAUGCCUGAUGCCCUAUGCCCAAAACAGCUGGAUGCUGCUCUUGCCACCAUAUGCCACCAUUUCAUGAUGGUGCCAUUGCAGUGAAUUGACCCCAAGGAUGCUUCUCUGCUCAAGAUGUAUAAGAGCUGGGAAACUCAUCAUUCUCCAUUACAGUCACCUCACCAAGUUCUACUGCAUGCCGCCUGCCUUUUGUCACCCCAGGACCGGCCACCAGUCCUCAGGACCCUUGAGGAGUUGUGGCUCUAACUCAGGGAACUCAUCCAAAUAAACAACUUUCCCUCCUUAAUUUGUACCACUUAAGCUGAGCAUCAGGAAGAAGGAAACACCAGAGAAACUCAAAGAUCUGAAGGACAUCAACCCUGCUCAAGUCACUCUGGAAGCUGACUAGCCUGAAUGUGCCCAAAGCUUGAGGAAACAUCAGCCCUGCUUCAGCCACUCUGGGUUGGAUGUACAAGGUGAAAGAUAUACUAACCAAAAGGAAAAUGGACUGUUUCACUCUUUAAGACAGCUCUUACACUGUCAUUGCCACCCCUUACUUCUGUCCUAUACAGAGUCCUUUGUUUUGUCUUGACUCUAGGACUGAUAACAAUCAAACACAUAGUUAAUAAUAUCAGAAAACAUACACAUGUACCAGUUCAAUCCUGAAAGGGCAUUGCAGUUGAGAUCCAAGCUCACUAUUUGGAGGAUGGUUUCCUUUUCUUGGUGGAUUCAAAAGCUUAAUUGACAUAGCAUGGAUUAUGCUAUGAACUUGUUUAUUGCUUCCAUGUUUGUUUCCUCUUUACAUUAAAACUAGUGGUUCUGCAAUAGAAGCAGGUUUUUUUUUAAAGAGAAACAACAACUAUGCUAUUACAUUAUAUAAAGCUUUAAGCCAAGAAGAUAAUAAUGCCCUUUGACUUAGAGGAUUAAAUAAUGAGCAUCAAAGGGGGUAAUGCUGUAGUUCCUAAAAGACUCCCAACUUAAUUGUAACACACAAGUCUCUCUCCUAAUCAAGAAGAGGUUAUUUUAAGAAGUCAGCAAAAUUUCCAGAGCACUCAUUGUGCUUUGAGCUCCUUUUUGUUGUAAAGGCCAGGUUUCUCUUUCUUGUAAGACUUAAGCCUGCAGGGUUGGGGUUGUGGCUCAGUGAUAGAGCACUUGCCUAGCACAUGUGAGGCCUGGUGUUCAAUUCUCAGCACCACAUAAAAAUAAAGGUAUUGUGCUCAUCUACAACAUAAAAAAAAGUCUCCAAUCAAGUUUGUUGAUGUUUGAAAAUUUUUGUUUUCUGUGUAAAAAAAAAAUGUGAAACCUCUGUUCAACCUAUGAAUAUGGAACAAAAUUAUGUUAUAUUAAAUAUUUGCUGUGUUACCACCCACUGAAAUCUUAGAGAAUUUCCAGACCUGGGGUCCAGAGCUUGUUUGGUGUUAGCCCCUCUGGAUUGCUGCAGCUUAAAUAAAUCUGCUUCCUCCAAAUUCCUCAGGUGUCCAGACUCACCUUUCCUACAUCAAUGCCUGCUUGAAAUGCUAGAUGUCCUAAUUCUUGAAGGGCCUGAAGAGACAUGAAGGAGUUGAACACCUGAUUGUCAAAAAGUGGUGAAUGUGGACCCAUUUCUCAGGGCAAUCAUAAAAUACCAAUGAAUUUGGAGACAGCACUCUUUCCUUCAUUGUUCUCUGCUGGGAGUGAACCACUGUUUGGAGAAUGCUCUUUGUUUGAGCCUUACUUUAUUUUUACUUUAAUAAAAAGUUAUCUUGCAUUA